ACGAACGCUGGCGGCGCGCCUAACACAUGCAAGUCGAACGAGCGAGAGAGAGCUUGCUUUCUCGAGCGAGUGGCGGACGGGUGAGUAACGCGUGAGGAACCUGCCUCAAAGAGGGGGACAACAGUUGGAAACGACUGCUAAUACCGCAUAAGCCCACGACCCGGCAUCGGGUCGAGGGAAAAGGAGCAAUCCGCUUUGAGAUGGCCUCGCGUCCGAUUAGCUAGUUGGUGAGGUAACGGCCCACCAAGGCGACGAUCGGUAGCCGGACUGAGAGGUUGAACGGCCACAUUGGGACUGAUACACGGCCCAGACUCCUACGGGAGGCAGCAGUGGGGAAUAUUGCACAAUGGGGGAAACCCUGAUGCAGCGACGCCGCGUGGAGGAAGAAGGUCUUCGGAUUGUAAACUCCUGUUGUUGAGGAAGAUAAUGACGGUACUCAACAAGGAAGUGACGGCUAACUCUGUGCCAGCCGCCGCAGUAACAC
rnacentral:rRNA from 1 species